AUCUAUCAGAACAAGUUAAUCACUCAAUUAAAAAAAAAUAAAAAGAGAGGAAAAAAAAAGUUGCAUCCUUAGAGCUUCAAAAACUUUUCAGUUGAAAAUUAUUAGCACCAGAUGCUGAGAUGAGAUACCAAACCAAUAGUAUGUAAAUUUCUCAAUAAUGCUUGCCACCAGGUAGACAGCAUAUCCAAAUGAUCAGCAGCCAACUCUGGCCUUAACAAUACUUGAUCAUCCAACUAGCUGAAUAGCGAA
rnacentral:misc_RNA from 1 species